rnacentral:rRNA from 1 species
UACAGAGGUCUCAAGCGUUGUUCGGAUUCAUUGGGCGUAAAGUGUGCGUAGGUGGCGCGCUAAGUCGGGUGUGAAAUUUCGGAGCUUAACUCCGAAACUGCAUUCGAUACUGGCGUGCUUGAGGACUGGAGAGGAGACUGGAAUUCAUGGUGUAGCAGUGAAAUGCGUAGAGAUCAUGAGGAAGACCAGUGGCGAAGGCGGGUCUCUGGACAGUUCCUGACACUGAGGCACGAAGGCCAGGGGAGCAAACGGG